rnacentral:lncRNA from 1 species
UCUUCAUGGCUGCCAGUCAGAUUCAUUUCCGCUGAGCCACGACGGGAACUCCCUUAAGUGUUGUUUAGAGAAUGUCUCCCACGAUGCCUGAUGCUUUCCAUGACCCAAUUCAAGUCUGAUUUGGGCUCUGGGCUAACAGCAGCCCCCAAGGCCAGAGCGCUCCUGUCCCACGGGCCUCAGGCAGAACCAGAGGGAACGUCAAACAGUUUCCUGGGGAAUGCGAGGCCCUUAGUAUGUCGUUCUCACUCCCCAGCACGGUCACCUGUACAGCUUCCAGCUGACGAAUAGGAACCCAGCUCGGACAGCAGGCGGGACCCCUUCCCCCCUCCGCCCGGCACCGAACUCGCCCUCCAGCCCUGCCGCCCUCAGCUCCGCCCCUCCCCGUGCCGCCUCCCUCUGCCCACCUUUCGCCCCCAAGCCGCUGUACCCCCGUCAUCCGCCAGGGUCAUCUUCGUCCGCCUGCCGCCAAGUGGGGGUCCAGCCAGGCGGGGGGCCAGCCCGGGCCGCCGCUGCAAGGACCGUCUUUCGGGUGCUCGGUAUUGCGGUCGCGGCUUGCUGAGACCUGGCCCCGAGUGUUGGCCGACUGCAGAUCUCUUGCGAGAACAGAUUACAAUUGGAACAGCCAGCGGGAAUCUUCUCACAAACCGAGGCGGUUCCCCAGCGGGUCCAAAUAAAUCCGGAAUGUCCCUCCUCCGAGCCUGAGAGCCCGUCUUUAUCAGCAGCACCCGCGACGGGGGUGAGGACAGCGGCGACGCUGAUGAGGGAUGACGCUUAGAGCGCGCAAGCAUCUUCCGUCCCUGUUCCCUGCAGGUCUCGGAGCCUCGAAGGGACGAACGUAGGGGGUUCCGCAGCCUUUCCAAGGGGGCCCUGGAGAGGCCGGUACAGCUUUCUCAUCCGAAAAGAGAGGAGCCCAGACUCUGUCCAAGGCCUCCCUGAGCCCUGAAACUCACCGGCAGCCGCAAAGGUGGGACGACGUCUCUCAGGAUUGAAACGCCUCUCAGGUGAGGGCUCAUCCUUUCUGGGACUGGGGAGGUCAAAAUUGAGGGGCAAUAAUUAAGUCCGAGUGGGAGAACACAAAUGGGGGCUGAGAGGAUAGAAUGUUCUUGGUUAAAAAAAAAAUGCACGUGUCUGAUUUAUUCCCCAAACAUAUCGAAGCAGUAGAAAUGAAUAUACACCAUGAAAAAUAACUUAAUGAAUGAAAAUACUGUAAAAAGCUCCAGCUUAGUGGAGUCGUAGGAAUAGCAGCACUGGGCUCAGAGACCUGAGUUUGAAUUUUUUAUUUUUUUCCAACCGAGAGGAAAUUGACAUUUAUGUAACAUUUUACUAGUUUCAGGUGUGCGAUACAGUGAUUGACAUUUGUAUACACUGCAGAAUGGCCCCGCCACAAGUCUAGUUAACCUCCAUCCCACACAGAGUUACAGCUGCUUUUACUUGUGAUGAGAACUUUUAAGAUCUACCCCCUAGAAAAGGCAAAAAGACC